AGAGUUGAUUCUGGCUCAGAACGAACGCUGGCGGCAGGCCUGACACAUGCAAGUCGAGCGCGCCUUCGGGGUGAGCGGCGGACGGGUUAGUAACGCGUGGGAACGUACCCUUUGGUAGGGAAUAGCCACUGGAAACGGUGAGUAAUACCCUAUGAGCCCUUCGGGGGAAAGAUUUAUCGCCAAAGGAUCGGCCCGCGUUAGAUUAGGUAGUUGGUGGGGUAAUGGCCUACCAAGCCUACGAUCUAUAGCUGGUUUUAGAGGAUGAUCAGCAACACUGGGACUGAGACACGGCCCAGACUCCUACGGGAGGCAGCAGUGGGGAAUCUUGGACAAUGGGGGCAACCCUGAUCCAGCCCAUGCCGCGUGAGUGAAGAAGGCCUUAGGGUCGUAAAGCUCUUUCGCCUGUGAAGAUGAUGACGGUAGCAGGUAAAGAAACCCCGGCUAACUCCGUGCCAGCAGCUGC
rnacentral:rRNA from 1 species